AACGAACGCUGGCGGCAUGCCUAACACAUGCAAGUCGAACGAAACCUUCGGGUCUAGUGGCGCACGGGUGCGUAACGCGUGGGAAUCUGCCCUUGGGUUCGGAAUAACAGUUAGAAAUGACUGCUAAUACCGGAUGAUGACGUAAGUCCAAAGAUUUAUCGCCCAAGGAUGAGCCCGCGUAAGAUUAGCUUGUUGGUGGGGUAAUGGCAUACCAAGGCGACGAUCUUUAGCUGGUCUGAGAGGAUGAUCAGCCAAGCUGGGACUGAGCCGCGGCCCGGACUACUACAGAAGGCGGCAGUGGGGAAUAUUGGACAAUGGGCGAAAGCCUGAUCCAGCAAUGCCGCGUGAGUGAUGAAGGCCUUAGGGUUGUAAAGCUCUUUUACCAGGGAUGAUAAUGACAGUACCUGGAGAAUAAGCUCCGGCUAACUCCGUGCCAGCCGCCGCCGUAA
rnacentral:rRNA from 1 species